rnacentral:lncRNA from 1 species
GGAGAAAGACAAGCCCAUCCAUCAGCCUGCACCUCUGGGGCCUACGUGGCCCAGAGUUCUCCGAACUCGUCCAGUGUCCACAGCCCAGCAACACGCAUGAGGGCUGAAGAAAGAGAGAAAUACCGUUCCCUGGGACAGCGACGUGGACCAGCCCCACCGAUUCCCUCCCCGCCCGGGUAACUCACUCCAUGCUGUGUCCUUGGCCUCCUCUGACGUUACGAAACCCAACCCUGCGCUUUUUUCUUUGCUGCCUUUUAAAGACAGAAGAACAGCUGACACUUCCCUUUCAGCCGGCACCGUCCUGGCAUGGGGAAAAAGCAGAUGGAGGCAAGUCAAUUGACAUGUUGACAAACCAGUGGAUCGGAAAAUAAAUCUACCCUGAUCAAGUCACAAAAGCACGGGGAAGGAGACGCCGGGGGCAGCGCGAAAUCCCGGGCACGGCUGCCUCCCGCCCCACGCCCAGGACCGGGAAGGGCCACGCAGCUGUGAUGUUUUUCUCUCCAAAGGGAAUUAAUCAUUUCCAGACGCCGGCCCAGCACCUGGUGCCCAAAGCCAUAGGCCUGGGAGCUGUGCAGGUCUUGCAGGCAGACGACACCACUUAGCGGACGCGAUUUCUUCCCUGGUCCCACUGCCUGGUGCGUGCAGAGAAACUACUCCCAAGUGGGAAGUGAGUGGCUUGUUGAGGCUUGGGACAAAGCUCAGGGGUGUCCCAGGUGAACCCCCUUCUCUAAAACAAGCAGGUCCCUCCCUGCUCCGACACUGAAAUGACAUCACGGGGCACUGAGGACGUGAGGCCCGUCCCCGGCUGCUGCAGUGCAGUGCCACCUGCAGGCCGUGUGGCCUGAGCAGGCUGUGCCAUCUCCAGGCCUGCAGUCUCUCGUCUGUAGGAAGAGGAUGAUCAGUAGCCCAGCCUUGGAGGAGCCAUGCUCACCCCGAACGCUUCCACCAGCUCAGGCUGCAUGGUUUCAACAAGAGGAAUUUGUUUCUCAUAGUUCUGGAGGCUGGAAUUCCAAGAUCAAGGGCCUAUGACCAUGUCUGAUGUUCAGGGAAUGAAGAAGUGAAGAAAGCAGGAAUGAAUGAAGGAAGGAAGCAGCCCCAGCAAUUGGUUCCCAGGCGAGAAGCUGGUGGGGUUCUGACUUCUAUCCCGAUUCACACCCUUUUCUCCUGCCCUCAGGGCGGUCCUUCUCCUGCUCUUGUUCAUUCAUCCCCUUCAGCCCUUUCGUAUUCUCUUCUGUAGCCGAACCACAAAAAAUAAAUACAUUAGAAAUGUUUUCCGAGCUCAUCGUGUCAAUUUCUCUGCCCCAGCCCAGUGC